GGAGAAGGGGCGCGAGGGGGAACCGCGAUGGGAGAAGGGGCGCGAGGGGGAACAGAGAGGGGAGAAGGGGUCUCGCCUCCCGACCGCGCCUCCCUAGGUGUCGCCGCCUGGCGGUUACGAGGAGGCCGCCUCCUGCUUGCUGGCCUGGCGGUCCUACUCACCACCGCAAGAUUUCAAAAGGGAAAUUCCUCCAGGGCUGAGUCACAAGGAAGAAAGCGAUUUCCUCCGCCUCUUCCAAAGCGGCCCCUUUGGUGCCAGUCUGCUGGAGUUUGCUGGAGGUCCACUCCUGACCCUGUUUGCCUGCGUAUCACCAGUGGAGGCUGCAGAGCAGCAAAGAUUGCUGCCUGUUCUUUCCUCUGGAAGCUUCGACCCAGUGGGGCACCUGCCAGAUGCCAGCCAGAGCUCUCCUGUAUCAGGUGUCUGUCGGUCCCAACUAGGAGGAUUUUAUAACCUGACAGUGUGCUGGAACUUCUCUGCUGGACUCCUGGACUCCCACAAGGUCAGCUGCCGAAUCUUAAAGACACUCAGGUGGUUCAGUGGAGAGGCCCAUUGGUGAGGAACUGAAGCCUUCAGUCAACAGCCACGUAAUGAGACUUCUUGUAAAGAGACCCCCAACCCCAGUCAAGGCUUCAGAUGGCUGCAGCCCCAGCCAAUGGCUUCACCGUAACCUAUGAGAGACUGAGCCAGAGCUACCCAGCUAAGCUGUUCCAAAAUUCCUGACCUGUUAGAUAACAUGCAAUUGUUGUUUUAAGCCGCUAAGUUUCCGAGGAAUUUGUUACCAGUAAUAGAUAAUUAAUUCACUAAGAA